AUUCUUAGCAAUUAAACUCUUGAAAUAAUCUUUGCAUGUGCAAAACACCGAGCGAUGAAAUGAUGGAAGUAGUUACUGCAUUUAUCACUGGUUUGUGCUGGUAGACCUGCCAAAAAAUUACUUCAUGAAUCGCGUUUUUAUUUAUAUAUUAUGUAUGAAUGAAUGAAUUCAGCCCAACACCUCACAGAUAUUUCAUUGGUUCAGUUAUUAAGUGUUGUUGAUGAAGAGACCAAAAUUGGACACAAAGCAGACGGAACGGCAUGCGCAUUGUGUAAACUCCCCUAAUUUGCCUUCUUUUUGACCUUCCCCGUGUUGGGCUUGUGAAUCCUGACGGGUCAUCUUGUGAUCGGCCGCGUCAUCGUGCCUCCGGAGGGGGACGGCAGCCUGCAGAGUGGCGUUUUUUGUUCUCGGCCACGGUGACCUUGUCUCGUCCAUUCGCCGUGGCAUCUGUUUGCGUCUCGUAGGAGUGUAUCGCCGUGUAUCUUCCCUUCCUCGCUGCCACUUUUGUAAAAACACAAUCCGUUAACUGUGCAGCGAAAUGAAACACAAAAGACGUUCAUGGUGUCCGUCCUCAGUGACGUCCAACACAGCGAUCGAAGGUGGACAUUUGUAAAAAAAAAAAGAUCACUAAAAACACUUUUUUCGCGUGUGCCGUUGAUUUAUUUGAUAUGAAACGUUUAAAAAAAAAAAAAAAGACGAGAAAAAAAAAAGCUACUGUAAACACGUUGCAAGUCUGUGUGUAAAUGUUUUUACAUACUACCGGUAUAAUGAAAUGAUACCGUUUUCUAACGACUAUUGUGUUCAUGCAUAACGUGUUCCCUAUGGUGACGACUUUUGAUUUCUCUGCGCAUUUUCUCUGUAAAUAGAUUGUAAAGUGAAGGCUUCUGUAAAGUAUGUAAGAUAUCCAUGAACUACAGCUUCUUAGGAGUGUUUUGAGUCCAGUAUGAGAAGCGAGCUGUAUAUUGUUUUGAACUGCUCUUUAUUUUUCUAUGUUUGCCUUAACCCUGCCAUCGUUUUUUUUUUUGGGGUGGGGGGGUCUCGUCACUGUUUUUAGGUCAACUUUAUGAAUAAGGUUAGUCUGUAUGUCUUGUACACUGAAAUCCGCGUCGACUGACGAUUCACUGCACUGACAAACCUGAUUUGGGUAGGGUGGGGGGUUGAGGGGGAUGAUCGUUUGACAAAAUAGACUGUACACGUGAAAAAAAGAAUCAAAAUGCAGCGGUAAGAGAAAAGGUUGCUCUUGAUUCAUUUUGAGAAACACACACACACACACAAAAAAAGCCACUGUGUUGCUCCAUUAUGUCUAACUAGAGGGGAAAAGUUGCUCUUCUUCACAUUUUUGAUUGACAAACACACUGGAAAAAUUCACCCGGUGCGUUUGCUGUUCUUGUACUCGAAGGAUUAAGUGUCAUUUGACUUGAAGACCGUGUUGUGAGUUUGCUGUAAAACAUUCUCCGGUGAAUAAAUAUUUUAGUUGUUUACUUUA